rnacentral:lncRNA from 1 species
UGGGGGUGGGGGUGGGAGGGGGGGGGGGGGGUGGAGGUCUAGUAUAAAAAGCCCCCAUUUGGAGACAUCCUGUCUUUAGCCACUGUGCUAUGCGGCUGGAUCGAAAUCACACGAGGUGAAGUGGUGAGUAAUGUUAUUUAAACAGCACUGGGGUUGUUUUCUGCUGAGAUAAUAUAUUUUGUUCGCAGCAAUAAUUUGGUCUCGUUAGCCAGCUGUAUCCUAUUUGUCUCAUGCUUAAAUUACGAGUUUUGCCACAUUUUAAAUAAUCUGAUAUCUCUCUUUCUUUUCACAAAGUUUAGUGCUACGGACAUCAUCUGACGUCGAAAAUAAGCGGGACAACAAAGCUGCCAACAUUGAUGAGGCCUUGCUCCACACCCUCAGUCGUAAUGAUUUGAGAGACCCUUUCCUGGACCAGAACACUUUCUCAGGAGGAAACGAGUAUGGGCUCUUAUUAGCCCAGAGGUAACGGUCAAAUAAUGGUCAAAUAAUAUAAGGAGCUGUCUGACGGCUGUGGCUUCCGCCUGAGUGUAAACAUAUUUUUCACUGCUGAAAUCCAAAACCUAGAAGCUUACAAAAAGUGUGUCGAAUUUGAAAUUGUAAGUUAUUCAGUGUAAAAGUAAAAAUGACAUAAAAUUAUAUAAUAUUUGAAUCACAGCUUAUAGUGUUUUGACAUCUACAACCCAAGUGCAUUUUACCUCAAACUUGCCACACUGACAAAAAUAUAUCCUAUAGUUUCCGUUUCGUUUUUGUUAACGAUUAUAACCUAAUUUAUAAUCGUAAAAGUGGUUGUAUCAUGUUAUUGAUUUGAAUUUAAGUUUAACAGUUUUGAAAACAGUAUUUUAGCAGUUGAAGUGAGAAAAUAUUUGCCUCAAAUUUGAGGCCAUAUCAGGUUUCAAAAAAAACAGGCGCCAAAUACCUUUAUUCACCUUGUUGUCUCUCCUUUCCGAGUUAUGAACUAAAUACAGUCACUGCCACUGACAAUGAAGCUCAAAGCCUAUUAAAACGAUUUCGUUUUGUAUUAAUUGUAUUUUCAUUUUAAUCCAUUUUUCAUUGACCACUAUCCUGAAUGGAGGUCUAGUAUAAAAAGCCCCCAUUUGGAGACAUCCUGUCUUUAGCCACUGUGCUAUGCGGCUGGAUCGAAAUCACACGAGGUGAAGUGGUGAGUAAUGUUAUUUAAACAGCACUGGGGUUGUUUUCUGCUGAGAUAAUAUAUUUUGUUCGCAGCAAUAAUUUGGUCUCGUUAGCCAGCUGUAUCCUAUUUGUCUCAUGCGUAAGUUACGAGUUUUGCCACAUUUUAAAUAAUCUGAUAUCUCUCUUUCUUUUCACAAAGUUUAGUGCUACGGACAUCAUCUGACGUCGAAAAUAAGCGGGACAACAAAGGUAAGUUUUAA